rnacentral:rRNA from 1 species
AACAAACGCUGGCGGCGUGCCUAAUACAUGCAAGUCGAACGGGGAAAGCUUUCGGGUGAGUACUAGCGGCGCACGGGUGAGUAACGCGUGGAUAAUCUGCCUUAGAGUGGGGGAUAACUAGUCGAAAGAUUAGCUAAUACCGCAUAAGACCACAAGAACUGCGGUUCAAGGGGUCAACGGUUUUUCGCUCUAAGAUGAGUCCGCGUAAGAUUAGCUAGUUGGUAGGGUAACGGCCUACCAAGGCGACGAUCUUUAACUGGUCUGAGAGGAUGAUCAGUCACACUGGAACUGAGACACGGUCCAGACUCCUACGGGAGGCAGCAGUAGGGAAUAUUGCACAAUGGAGGAAACUCUGAUGCAGCGACGCCGCGUGAGUGAUGAAGGCCUUCGGGUCGUAAAGCUCUGUCGCAGGGGAAUAACACAAUGAAGGUACCCUGUAAGAAAGGAUCGGCUAACUUCGUGCCAGCCGCCGCGGUAACAC